rnacentral:siRNA from 1 species
GGCUAAUGGUCUCCAACAACCUA